AACUGAUACUACCUGCGGGAACCUGCGGAAGGAUCAUUACCGAGUUUACAACUCCCAAACCCCAUGUGAACAUACCUGUUUCGUUCCCUCGGCGGUGUCCGGCAACGGCCCGCCAGAGGACCCAACAAACUCUUUUGAAUUUUUCAGUAUCUUCUGAGUAAAAAACAAAUAAAUCAAAACUUUUAACAAUGGAUCUCU
rnacentral:misc_RNA from 1 species